rnacentral:rRNA from 1 species
GACGAACGCUGGCGGCGUGCUUAACACAUGCAAGUCGAACGGAAAGGCCCUGCUUUUGUGGGGUGCUCGAGUGGCGAACGGGUGAGUAACACGUGAGUAACCUGCCCUUGACUUUGGGAUAACUUCAGGAAACUGGGGCUAAUACCGGAUAGGAGCUCCUGCUGCAUGGUGGGGGUUGGAAAGUUUCGGCGGUUGGGGAUGGACUCGCGGCUUAUCAGCUUGUUGGUGGGGUAGUGGCUUACCAAGGCUUUGACGGGUAGCCGGCCUGAGAGGGUGACCGGCCACAUGGGGACUGAGAUACGGCCCAGACUCCUACGGGAGGCAGCAGUGGGGAAUAUUGCACAAUGGGCGGAAGCCUGAUGCAGCAACGCCGCGUGCGGGAUGACGGCCUUCGGGUGGUAAACCGCUUUCGCCUGUGACGAAGCGUGAGUGACGGUAAUGGGUAAGAAGCACCGGCUAACUACGUG